CCUACGGGGGGCACCCAACUGAAUGGAGCCCUACGGGGGGCUGCAGUGGGGAAUCUUAGACAAUGGGCGCAAGCCUGAUCUAGCCAUGCCGCGUGAUCGAUGAAGGCCUUAGGGUUGUAAAGAUCUUUCAGGUGGGAAGAUAAUGACGGUACCACCAGAAGAAGCCCCGGCUAACUCCGUGCCAGCAGCCGCGGUAAUACGGAGGGGGCUAGCGUUAUUCGGAAUUACUGGGCGUAAAGCGCACGUAGGCGGAUCGGAAAGUCAGAGGUGAAAUCCCAGGGCUCAACCCUGGAACUGCCUUUGAAACUCCCGAUCUUGAGGUCGAGAGAGGUGAGUGGAAUUCCGAGUGUAGAGGUGAAAUUCGUAGAUAUUCGGAGGAACACCAGUGGCGAAGGCGGCUCACUGGCUCGAUACUGACGCUGAGGUGCGAAAGCGUGGGGAGCAAACAGGAUUAGAUACCCCAGUAGUC
rnacentral:rRNA from 1 species